GGUAAGGUAGUUUAAAUAAAAUAUAAGAUUGUCAUUCUUAAAAUACAUCUGGAGUGUUCUUACUU